rnacentral:rRNA from 1 species
UACAGGGGGUGCAAACGUUGCUCGGAAUCACUGGGCGUAAAGCGCACGUAGGCGGAUCUUUAAGUCAGGGGUGAAAUCCUGGAGCUCAACUCCAGAACUGCCUUUGAUACUGGGGAUCUCGAGUCCGGGAGAGGUGAGUGGAACUGCGAGUGUAGAGGUGAAAUUCGUAGAUAUUCGCAAGAACACCAGUGGCGAAGGCGGCUCACUGGCCCGGUACUGACGCUGAGGUGCGAAAGCGUGGGGAGCAAACAGG